rnacentral:lncRNA from 1 species
AAAUUAUAAACUGAUUUUAUUAAUUGUUUUGAAUGAGCAAAAAAAAGAAUCAUUACAAUACAAAAGAGAUCAUCUCAUACAAGAACUGUCUUGAUCAAAGAAUUAUAAAAAUAAAUAACUAAAUCGUCACUUGUAUUACAUAAGACUUUUUUUUUUAAUUGAAAAAUAAAAAUUACAAAUUAUCACUAUUUGCAAUUGUCUUCAAAAUCUUGAACUUGUCCCGGUACUUGAACUUGUCCCAGCUCUCCAUAACCGUACUUCCACCUAAACAAAACUCACUAGUUAUAGCAAUAUGAUUUUGUUAAAAAAAUUUAUAUAAAAAAGAACAAUAAAAAAGUAAUAAAUACAAAUAAAUGAUGUCGUACAGAGAGAUUGAGAGGAUAUGAUGGCUUACCCUUAGCGUAGCUACCGUAGUAAAAGAAACAUAAUCCUUUAAUGUAUGUUGCCAAGUACAGAAUACAUUAACUUCCUAUAAUUAAAUGAUAAAAUACAUCUGCAUUUUUAAUAAUCCAAAAUAAACAGAAAGCAGCUCUCACCGUAAAAGAAGAAAAAAGUAGAGCAUGUGCCUCUUAAACUGGAGCAUGUCACCUUUAAUUUUCUGCAAAUAAGCAAUAGCAUGAGUCAAGCUGUCCACCAGGAGAGAAUACAAAAUAUAGAAUCUAAGUAGUUUCCGAUUUGAGCUUAUAUUACAAAAUUGGAAUGAACAUAAUACAUCUAAAAAAAACUUACGUUGACACUUGAGAGUUGAGACUGCUAACAAAACUGGUAGCAUUAUUUGAAAGUCAAUCGAGUACCAAUUUUACUCGAUAUAUAAUAAGUAGUGUCGUCUUCUGCCCAAGAUGACUUGUCAAGAUUCUUAUGAAACAAGAUGUUAAUCUCAGUAUCAAUAUGACUAAUAGAAUAUCUUUUUGUCACUGAAAGAGAUGAAGAAAAACGUAAAAUAGACCGCAAGAAUGUUAUACAAGAGACCGGAAUCUAUAGAUGAGACAGACCUUCUAUAGAGGAUUUUAUAGAGAAUGGCAGAUCUAUUUGCUGAAUUUAGGAUCAAACAUCCUGAAAAAUCAGUACUUACAAACCAAGCUGCGGGAGAAGAAAUUUGGACUUUAAAGAAGACGUUCUUUAGAUGAGCAUUCAAUUUUUUA